CGGAGAGUGCAAACGUUGUUCGGAUUCACCGGGCGUAAAGGGCACGUAGGCGGCUCGGCAAAUCGGUCGUGGAAUCUCGACGCUUACCGUCGAAACGGCGGCCGAAAAUACCGGGCUCGAGGGCGUGAGGGGUCACUGGAACUCCUGGUGAAGCGGUGAAAUGCGUAGAUAUCAGGAGGAACGCCGGAGGCGAAAGCGAGUGACUGGCGCGUUCCUGACGCUGAGGUGCGAAAGCUAGGGGAGCAAACAGGAUUAGAUACCCUGGUAGUCCUAGCCGUAAACGAUGGACACUGAGUGAAGGAGGGCUUGCCCUUCUUUGCUGCAGCUAACGCGUUAAGUGUCCCGCCUGGGGAGUACGGCCGCAAGGUUA
rnacentral:rRNA from 1 species